AGCGAACGCUGGCGGCAUGCUUAACACAUGCAAGUCGCACGGGCAGUAGCAAUACUGUCAGUGGCGGACGGGUGAGUAACGCGUAGGAAUCUAUCCUUGAAUGGGGGACAACCGUGGGAAACUACGGCUAAUACCGCAUGAUGCCUGAGGGCCAAAGACGAAAGUCGUUUGAGGAGGAGCCUGCGUCUGAUUAGGUAGUUGGUGGGGUAAAGGCCUACCAAGCCUACGAUCAGUAGCUGGUCUGAGAGGAUGAUCAGCCACAUUGGGACUGAGACACGGCCCAAACUCCUACGGGAGGCAGCAGUAGGGAAUCUUCCGCAAUGGGCGCAAGCCUGACGGAGCAACGCCGCGUGAGCGAAGAAGGCCUUCGGGUUGUAAAGCCCUUUGGCGGGACGAUGAUGACGGUACCCGCAGAAUAAGCUCCGGCUAACUUCGUG
rnacentral:rRNA from 1 species